rnacentral:rRNA from 1 species
UACGUAGGGGGCAAGCGUUGUCCGGAAUCAUUGGGCGUAAAGAGCUCGUAGGCGGCUCAGUAAGUCGGCUGUGAAAGCCCGGGGCUCAACCCCGGAACUGCAGUCGAUACUGCUGUGGCUAGAGUCCGGUAGAGGAGAGUGGAAUUCCCGGUGUAGCGGUGGAAUGCGCAGAUAUCGGGAGGAACACCAGUAGCGAAGGCGGCUCUCUGGGCCGGUACUGACGCUGAGGAGCGAAAGCGUGGGGAGCAAA